rnacentral:rRNA from 1 species
GCCCUACGGGGGGCAGCAGUGGGGAAUAUUGCACAAUGGGGGAAACCCUGAUGCAGCAAUGCCGCGUGAGUGAAGAAGUAUUUCGGUAUGUAAAGCUCUAUCAGCAGGGAAGAAGAUGACGGUACCUGAGUAAGAAGCCCCGGCUAACUACGUGCCAGCAGCCGCGGCAAUACGUAGGGGGCAAGCGUUAUCCGGAUUUACUGGGUGUAAAGGGAGCGCAGACGGUGAGACAAGUCUGAAGUGAAAGCCCGGGG